GCGGCGUACUUCACACAUGCAAGUCGAACGAGGAUCAUCGGGUUCGCAAUAAUUCGGUGGUCCUCGUCGGCGCACGGGUGAGUAACACGUGGGUGACCUCGCCCUGAGCUCGGGAUACCCCCUCGAAGAGGAGCUAAUACCGGAUACGUUUCCCCGGUUGAAAGAUCGGGGAAGAAAAUGGCGCAAGCUGCCGCUCUUCGGAGGGGCUCGCGGCCUAUCAGCUAGUUGGCGGGGUAACGGCCCACCAAGGGCUAUGACGGGUAGCUGGGUCUGAGAGGACGACCAGCCACACGGGGACUGAGACACGGCCCCGACUCCUACGGGAGGCAGCAGUGGGGGAAUUUUCCGCAAUGGGCGAAAGCCUGACGGAGUGACGCCGCGUGUGGGACGAAGGCCUUCGGGUCGUAAACCACUGUCAGUGGGAAAGAUGGGUGUCGGCGCUAAUACCGCCGGCAUCUGACGGUACCUGCAGAGGAAGCCCCGGCCAACUCUGUGCCAGCAGCCGCGGUAAGACAGAGGGGGCAAGCGUUGCUCGGAAUUACUGGGCGUAAAGGGCGCGUAGGCGGGAUGGCAAGUCGGUCGUGAAAUCCCUCGGCUCAACCGAGGAACGUCGAUCGAUACUGCUGUUCUUGAGGAUUGCAGAGGAGACUGGAAUUCCCGGUGUAGCGGUGAAAUGUGUAGAGAUCGGGAGGAACACCGGUGGCGAAGGCGGGUCUCUGGGCAAUUCCUGACGCUGAGGCGCGAAAGCGUGGGGAGCGAACGGGAUUAGAUACCCCGGUAGUCCACGCUGUAAACGAUGAGCACUAGGUGUGGGGGGGUUCAGUCCCCUCCGUGCCGCAGCUAACGCAUUAAGUGCUCCGCCUGGGGAGUACGGCCGCAAGGUUGAAACUC
rnacentral:rRNA from 1 species